GCCUGGCUGGCUCAGCAAGUGGAGCAUGAGACUUUUGACCUCGGGGUUGUGAGUUUGAGCCCCACGCUGAGUG
rnacentral:tRNA from 1 species